rnacentral:rRNA from 1 species
UCCGUAGGUGAACCUGCGGAAGGAUCAUUACACACU